CUGUGAGAUGUAGAGACAGAAAGAGCAGCUGCCUGAUAACUAAUUCUUUUUUCACAUUUUGUCCUAGCUGUACUACUUCUUGGGUUCCAUGAAGUCUCCUGCAUCCUCAUAUAGAUCUUCCAUUUCCUUGAACUUCCUUCGGGGCUCAGCAGGAAACAGAACAAAGGACUUUGACGAAAUGACUUCUUUCAAAGUAUGGACAAAAUUAAAGAAACAAUGAGGGUUGUUGGGACAACCAGAGACUAGCAUCAAGGAAAACUGCCUGCAUCAAGAUAAAAUAAAUUAUUUUACCAGAGCCCAGUGAGAUCUGGAGCCAUGGAGAAGCUCCUAGCCUAUAGGAGCCAAUGUCAUAGAAGGACAUAGCCACUGCCUGAACAAGGAGGAAGUGGGCAAGAAAGAUCAUGGCUUUUACCUCUUCUCACCUUCAAAUCUUCUGCCACUGCCUUCUGUUGGCCAAGACCAACCAAGAGCCAUAGGGUAUGGGAACCCAGGUAAUGCAGUCCCUAGAAGCCAGCCUCCUUGGGCACAGAGCAAAGCAUAGAAAAAACAAUAAUGGAUUUGGGGCAUGGAUUUGAGGAGGGACCAUAACAAACUGCCAGUGUACUCAGCAUGUAGUGUGAUUGAAACAUUUAUCUUUUCUUAUUCUUUCAGCAUUAUUGAAAGUUAUUAUUACCCUUCCACUACAGUUUGAGAAAUUGAG
rnacentral:lncRNA from 1 species